ACCUGGGUGGCUCAGGAGUUGAGCAUCAGUCUUUGGCUCAGGUCAUGAUCCUGGGGCUGUGGGAUCAAGUCCCACAUCAGGUU
rnacentral:tRNA from 1 species